GGUUAGCUCAGUUGGUUAGAGUGUGGUACUGAUAUUGCCAAGGCCGUGGGUUCAAUCCCCAUUGAGGUCCC